rnacentral:tRNA from 1 species
GCUGGCAUAGCUCAAUUGGUAGAGCAACUGAUUUGUAAUCAGUAGGUUAAGGGUUCAAGUCCCCUUGCUAGCU